UAAAGGUUGGCACGGAUUCGAAUUAUCUCUCUCCGAUCCAAAACACAACUCAUAUAAAUUUGUACAUUUGGAUUAAGACAGCUCUCGUUUCUAGUGUCCGACCACUCAUAUUGGCUCAAUAGUAAAUGGAUGUGAAUAGUUAUUGGCCGGGUGCGGGUUUCAAGAAAAAAAUGAGAUGUAUCGUGGAACAAAUGAGAAAAAUUUAUAUGAAUUGUGUUUUAGAAUUGAGUGAGUAGUUCAAGCCGUGCCCUUAUGAAAUGGAGGGAGUACCUUUUACCAAAAAAAUGCGAGAAAAAAAAAUAUGAGAAAAGAAGAUCAAAGUUUGUAUUGUACCAUUGUAUCACUUCCAGUCUUCCUUUUUUUCUUCUUAAUUAUGCAGUUGGGAGAUCACCACUCAUGUAGGUCAUGUCCAUCGAAAAAUUGUACUGCUGACACUCGACCAAAGGAGACCGUCUGGUGACCGAUCACCCAUAUAGAUGUUUUUCAGCUACCGUGCUCUUGUCGCGCUGUUUGUCAAUGACAAGAGAAGAAAACUCGACAGGCCCUAGAAAUUUCGUCAGGUCACAUCUUUUUGUAUCGUUGCAGUUGGUUCUAUACAAGCCGUGACAUGCCACUUGCCGGUGCGCUGGAGCAAGCAGCACCUUGGAAACCAUGGGCCUGACCGUCAUGCUGAAUCGUCUGCGACUAGGGGCAGCGUGAAUUGUUGGCCUGUCUGUUUGAUACCAUCUUCACGGGUGAUGUAUAUGAAGAAAAGUUGUACCCGGCGGCACUUUGCUACACUUCAAUUACCCUUCUGGUCUCCUCUAAUCUUUAUUUUCACUUCUGCCUGCCGAAUUGGCAUGGCAACCAUUGACGCCACAAACACGUCGGGACGCCUCUCUUGUCGGCACCUUCUUCUUGGAGGUGACGGAUAUAGACAAUAAGAUGCGCCUUGUUCUCUGAGGUGAAAGUCACAGAGAAAAAUGCGUGCCCUUGACACCGACGUACUUCCAGCACUUGGCCGUUUUGUAUGCUUGAUACAUCUUUUGUGCAAAUGUCUCGUGAGUGGACUUGGGAAACAAGCUGUGUCAUGGAUAAGCAUAUAUCAUAAGCUUACAUUUAUAA